AGCCUUAUAGCUCAUCAGCAUGAUGAUUGGGUGUUCAGGUUCUCAUGUGAGACGUGCCUCCCUCAAACCUUGUGAUAACAUUAACAUGUUACCUGUCUGAUG
rnacentral:snoRNA from 2 species